CCUACGGGUGGCUGCAGUGGGGAAUAUUGGACAAUGGGCGAAAGCCUGAUCCAGCCAUGCCGCGUGUGUGAAGAAGGCCUUCGGGUUGUAAAGCACUUUCAGUGGGGAAGAAAGCCUUGGGGCUAAUACCCUCGAGGAAGGACAUCACCCACAGAAGAAGCACCGGCUAACUCCGUGCCAGCAGCCGCGGUAAUACGGAGGGUGCGAGCGUUAAUCGGAAUUACUGGGCGUAAAGCGCGCGUAGGCGGUCUGAUAAGCCGGUUGUGAAAGCCCCGGGCUCAACCUGGGAACGGCAUCCGGAACUGUCAGGCUCGAGGGCAGGAGAGGAAGGUAGAAUUCCCGGUGUAGCGGUGAAAUGCGUAGAGAUCGGGAGGAAUACCAGUGGCGAAGGCGGCCUUCUGGACUGACACUGACGCUGAGGUGCGAAAGCGUGGGUAGCAAACAGGAUUAGAUACCCUUGUAGUC
rnacentral:rRNA from 1 species